rnacentral:rRNA from 1 species
UACGUAGGGGGCAAGCGUUGUCCGGAUUUAUUGGGCGUAAAGAGCGUGUAGGCGGCCAGGUAGGUCGGUUGUGAAAAUUGGAGGCUCAACCUCCAGACGUCGAUCGAAACCAUCUGGCUAGAGUCCGGAAGAGGAGAAUGGAAUUCCUGGUGUAGCGGUGAAAUGCGUAGAGAUCAGGAAGAACACCGGUGGCGAAAGCGCUCUGCUAGGCCGCAACUGACACUGAGGGACGAAAGCUAGGGGAGCGAAUGGG